rnacentral:lncRNA from 1 species
CACCUUAAGGAUGUCCUCCAUGCUUAGUGCUGAUUGCCAACUGGAUGGGCAUCUAGAAUCAUCUAGGAUGUCACCUCUUGCCAUGUCCCAGAGGGAGUUUCUAGGUCGUGAUAAGAAUUAUCAGAGAUAAAGAAAGGUUGCUGAACACACAUAGUAUGCUGACAACUGGCCACAUGUCAUCUUCACAGCAUUGCAAAGAAGGGGCCAUUUUUCUUGCAGGUA